GAAACAGAGAACAUUCCCAGUCGGAGCCUCGGGCUACUCACUGACUGAGAAUUCCCCUUAAACCAGCUGACGGUGAAUUCCCAAUAUGAAAAUCAGGGGGUGGGAUCAGAUCCUCUCCGGAUCCUUUAUAAAGAGCAGCCUUACCCAGAGUCCCCAGACUUUCAGACCAGACGGGAAUCUCGACGUUGUCAAUUUGACUCACUGUCGGGAAUUUGGUUUUCUGUCUGUGACAGAAAGAGUCCACAUUGGACAGAAUUCCCAGCACACCAAUCGGAUCAGCGGGAAGAGAACUGGGAGAUGUCCCGAGUGACCGUGAUUAACAACUGUGGGCAGACCGUUCAGGUCAGAGUGGAUCACUGUGACAAGACAGAUUUUGAAAUUAGCUCUGAAAAGGGCAGAAAUAAACAGCAGUUAAACCGUUCUAGUGAUUCUGUCAACAUCAGAGCUGAGUUCCAGACUGGAAUUUGGCUGUGUUCAACAUUAUGGAAAGGAGAGAAGACAAUAACUACAGAAAAAAAGAUCACAUUGUCCAGGUCAAACGAGACUGGUAAAAUCGAGAUCAAAGAGGCAAAUUAGGGAUGUGUAAUUCCUGAUCCUGUGCCUCCCCCAGGUCAGGAUAAGAUCAGCCUGUGUCCCAAAAUACAAUAAACAGAUCAAUUAAUCUUCA